CCUACGGGUGGCAGCAGUGAGGAAUAUUGGUCAAUGGGCGAGAGCCUGAACCAGCCAAGUCGCGUGAAGGAUGACGGCCCUACGGGUUGUAAACUUCUUUUGUCCGGGAGCAAUUGAGUCCACGUGUGGGCUUAGCGAGAGUACCUGAAGAAAAAGCAUCGGCUAACUCCGUGCCAGCCGCAGCGGUAAUACGGAGGAUGCGAGCGUUAUCCGGAUUUAUUUGGUUUAAAGGGUGCGUAGGCGGAAUAUCAAGUCAGCGGGAAACAUUCGGGGCUCACCCCCGUCGUGCCGUUGAAACUGUUGGUCUUGAGUGGGCUAGAAGUAUGCGGAAUGCGGGGUGUAGCGGUGAAAUGCAUAGAUAUCACGCAGAAAUCCGAUUGCGAAGGCAGCAUACCGGCGCCCAACUGACGCUGAAGCACGAAAGCGUGGGUAUCGAACAGGAUUAGAUACCCGUGUAGUC
rnacentral:rRNA from 1 species